UCCCUGGUAGUAUAUCGGUUAGUACACGCGCCUGUCACCCAGGUUGUGUCGCGCGAAAGCUGGGUUCGACUCCCAGCCAGGGAG